rnacentral:lncRNA from 1 species
GGGGUAUAUACACUAGUAUAUCAUACACUAAUAUAUUAAAUGAUUUACAAAGAGAUUAUAACAAAAAGAUAAAAUUAAAUUUACAUAUACACUAAUACAUAUACAAAGAGAAAUAAUAACAAGUAUUUAUAAAAGGAAUAAUAAUUAUUUAUAAAAUAAUAACUAUGAAUAAAAUCACAUGUAAAAGACAUAAUAAUAUUCCCUACUUUUAUUUUUAUUUUUUUCUGAUUUUUAUAAUUUUUUGCUGUUUUUUAUGGUUUUAUUAAGUUUUUCAUAAAAAAUAAAUUGUUAAAGUAAAAAAAACUUUCCAGCCCAACAGGCCGAGCAUGCCCGUGACUCCCUCUUCCUUCUCUCCCUCUCUCUGGCAAGUAGGCCCCAUAUGUUGGGGUCGUCCUCUACCUCCAGCCACCGCCACCACUGCACACCGCACUCCGCCCCUUCCACCACCACCACCGCACACCGCACCCGCCCCUUCCUCUUCCACCACCGCCACCGCGCCGUCCCUUCACCUUCCACAACCACCACCACGGCCGCCCCCCUUCCCCAUCCGGUGUAGCGCCACCACCGCGCCCCACCACAGCCGCC